AUGCCGGCUGGCGUCAAGUUCGAUCCCAUGGAUCAGGAGCUAAUCGAGCACCUUGAGGCCAACGUGAGUGUUGAUAGCGCGAGAUCUCACCCUCUCAUUGAUUUGUUCAUACCAACCAUCGACAGUGAGCACGACAUAUGCUACACCCAACCUGAGAAACUUCCAGACCUGAGUGGCCUAAGGAAGCAUAUGUUCCACCACAAUUCCAGGGCGUUCAAAAGGGGCACGUGGACGCGUUGCAAGAUACAGUCGGAGUGUGGCAUGCACACGAUGUGGCACAAGACCGGCAAUCCCUUGCCGGUGAUGGUCAACGGCCGGCAGACGGGCAACACAAAGGUUCCGGUGCUGCACACCAACAAGAACUUCGACCAGCAGAGGACCAACUGGGUGAUGCACCAGUACCACCUCGGGACCUGGAGCAAGAGAAGGAGUGGGAGCUGGUCCUCUGCAAGAUUUUGUACCAGACGAACACUAGGGUCGAGCAAGUUUCAACUGGGCUGUAGACUGCCCAGGCUUGGUUUUGUUUUUAACAGGCCCAACCCAUGA
rnacentral:rRNA from 1 species